rnacentral:rRNA from 1 species
UACGGAGGGGGCGAGCGUUAUUCGGAAUUAUUGGGCGUAAAGGGCGCGUAGGCGGCUGUACAAGUCAAAGGUGAAAUCCCUCGGCUCAACUGAGGAACUGCCUUUGAAACUGUACGGCUUGAGGCCGGGAGGGGGUAGCGGAAUUCCCAGUGUAGCGGUGAAAUGCGUAGAUAUUGGGAGGAACACCAGUGGCGAAGGCGGCGAUCUGGGAAGAUACUGACGCUGAGGUGCGAAAGCGUGGGGAGCAAACAGG